rnacentral:misc_RNA from 1 species
AAGGGAUGCUGAUUAUGGAAAGAGGCGGCGUAUAAUGUCCGAGUGAUCUGUGGCUUGGCUCCUUAUUUUCAAGGGUACUUCACAAUGAGAUCGAUUAGUAGCUAAUCUACUGAGGGUUUACCAUGUGUAUCCAGGCUUUCUACUGGGAGGCUUCCUUUUCUUCCUGCGUUCAUCAAAGAGUUGCUCUCUGAAAUGUUCUGUUGCAUACAUGUUUAUGCUCUUUUCCUGUUUAAGGAGCACUGGUCUCUCAGCACUAAGAACAUGGAGGACGUAGAGCAAGCUGUGUGAAGAAGUAUGGAAGGGAACUCCUUGAAGCUUCUGCCUGAGGAAGAAUGUUAUAUUAUAUGGUUUUACCUCUCAGUGAAGAUUGAAUUGCUAGUGGAACCUUUUAUGUCAGUUUUUGAAUUUAUGUUUUUGUUGAAUGUGACCUGAAUAAUCCUUUCUGGUGACUUGUGACUUUAUUGGAAGCCUAGUUAUAGAUUAUCAUAGACAUUUGCUAUUUGAUGUAAUGUGCUAGGAGGAUUUGACCCACAGGUUGGCGCCGAUCUGAUCCCUUGCUCUGGGGUUUGUUGUACUAAUUGUUUUUCUCUUUGUAUCAUCGUUGUUUCUUUGUUUUUGACCCAGUUUUUUAGUUGGGCAUAUGUUGUUGUUUAGCGCUUAUUCUUCCUUCUGCAAGUG